ACAAAUACUAGCUCAAACACCGCAAAGUUCAACUAACAUCCCCAAAUAAAACAAAACAUUUACCCCAAUCAAAGUAUAGGAGAUAGAAAUUUUAAUAUUGACGCUAUAGAGAAAGUACCGCAAGGGAAAGAUGAAAGACUUAUUGAAAGUAAUUAACAGCAAAGCUUACCCCUUGUACCUUUUGCAUAAUGAUUUAACUAGAAAAACUUGGCGAAGAGAACUUCCAGCCAAACGACCCGAAACCAGACGAGCUACCCAAAAGCAGCUAAAUGAGCGAACUCGUCUAUGUAGCAAAAUAGUGAGAAGACUUUUGGGUAGUGGUGAAAAGCCUAUCGAGCCUGGUGAUAGCUGGUUGUCCAAGAUAGAAUUUUAGUUCAACUUUAAGCCAUGCCUAAAAGACCCACAACUUUAACGCAGACUUAAAAUAUAGUCUAAAAGGGUACAGCCUUUUAGAAACAGGACACAACCUUAACUAGAGAGUAAGCCACGAGACUCCCAUAGUUGGCCUAAAAGCAGCCACCAAUUAAGAAAGCGUUCAAGCUCAACGACUCCAUGAUCUCAAUCCAAAUAAUCAUUAACGAACCCCUAGUUUAACAUUGGACUAUUCUAUUAUAAUAUAGAAGAAAUACUGUUAAUAUGAGUAACAAGAACUAGCUUCUCCUUGCAUAAGCCUAUAUCAGAACGGAUAAUCCACUGAUAAUUAACAGCAUUAUAAAUACAAUGCCACAGAUAAAAAAAUUAUUCAUCAAACUGUUAACCCAACACAGGAAUGCACUUUAAAGGAAAGAUUAAAAGAAGUAAAAGGAACUCGGCAAACACAAACCCCGCCUGUUUACCAAAAACAUCACCUCCAGCAUAACAAUUAUUGGAGGCACUGCCUGCCCAGUGACAUCCGUUAAACGGCCGCGGUAUCCUGACCGUGCAAAGGUAGCAUAAUCAUUUGUUCUCUAAAUAGGGACUUGUAUGAAUGGCCACACGAGGGUUUAACUGUCUCUUACUUCCAAUCAGUGAAAUUGACCUUCCCGUGAAGAGGCGGGAAUUUACAAAUAAGACGAGAAGACCCUAUGGAGCUUUAAUUAAUUAGCCCACAGAGCAAGCACAACAUUUCUAAGGAAAGCAACCUACCCUCUCUACUGGACUAACAAUUUAGGUUGGGGUGACCUCGGAAUAUAAAACAACUUCCGAGUGAUUACAGUCUAGACAAACCAGUCAAAACUUACUAUCAUUCAGUGAUCCAAAAAACCUUUUGAUCAACGGAACAAGUUACCCUAGGGAUAACAGCGCAAUCCUAUUUGAGAGUCCAUAUCGAUAAUAGGGUUUACGACCUCGAUGUUGGAUCAGGACAUCCCAAUGGUGCAGCCGCUAUUAAUGGUUCGUUUGUUCAACGAUUAAAGUCCUACGUGAUCUGAGUUCAGACCGGAGUAAUCCAGGUCGGUUUCUAUCUAUUUUACGUUCCUCCCAGUACGAAAGGACAAGAGAAACAGGGCCAACUUGAUUUAAGCGCCCUCAGACCAAUAGAUGAUACAAUCUUAAUCUAAUAGUCAACAGUAUAUACUCAACCCAAGAACAGGGUUUUAC
rnacentral:rRNA from 1 species